UCUGAAAAUGCUUAUAUUUUAAAGCAAUUUCCCUCCAAUUCCAUAUGGGAAGGAUUUUAUUGGAGGAAGAUUUAACAAUGUAAACGUGGAUGACUUACAGAGUGAAAGUGCAUAAGCAACACUGAUUGAAAAAAGGACUUUGUAUGCGUGCAGCCUGCUACAGCAAAUGCAUUGAAAUUGUUUCUGAAUUGAACAUCAAAUUGGUUUCCGUAGUUGGCUUCAUUGCUGAUAAGAUUUGGUGCCUUUCAACUUUCCUUCUUGUGUAUAUUUCUACAUUUGUAAACCAUUGUAUUGUUGAGUUGACCUUUGCUGCCUGUUACCUUU